CCUACGGGAGGCAGCAGUGGGGAAUAUUGGACAAUGGGCGAAAGCCUGAUCCAGCCAUGCCGCGUGUGUGAAGAAGGCCUUCGGGUUGUAAAGCACUUUCAGUGGGGAAGAAAGCCUUGGGGCUAAUACCCUCGAGGAAGGACAUCACCCACAGAAGAAGCACCGGCUAACUCCGUGCCAGCAGCCGCGGUAAUACGGAGGGUGCGAGCGUUAAUCGGAAUUACUGUGCGUAAAGCGCGCGUAGGCGGUCUGAUAAGCCGGUUGUGAAAGCCCCGGGCUCAACCUGGGAACGGCAUCCGGAACUGUCAGGCUAGAGUGCAGGAGAGGAAGGUAGAAUUCCCGGUGUAGCGGUGAAAUGCGUAGAGAUCGGGAGGAAUACCAGUGGCGAAGGCGGCCUUCUGGACUGACACUGACGCUGAGGUGCGAAAGCGUGGGUAGCAAACAGGAUUAGAUACCCGAGUAGUC
rnacentral:rRNA from 1 species